AGAAAAUAAUUGGACAGUUACCUAUAUGGGAUUAAUGAGAAGUUGUAUAAUUAUAUAAGUAAUUGAUUCCAUUGCUUGUACUCUUAGAGAGAAAACAUCUAUUCUGAGGAUCUACACAGUUUAAGGUAACAUCAGUUAGAGAGUUUACAAGUGUGAAUGUAAAAACUACCAAGAAUUGUGGAAAUCCUGCCUUGGUAAUCAGACUUUCAGUUCCUGUGGAAAGCCCUUCAAACUAGAUUCUUUCAGAAAGGUGGAGGUCUUCNCGAACAAGUAUGUUGGUGAUGUUCAAAGUCUUUAAAAUCAGUGACACGAAGACAUGAGGGAUAUUCUACAUAAGUGACCGUCCAUAAGGACGAAGGGUGAAGGGAGGGGAGGGGGUGGGGUGAUAUGGAUUUUGAGUUUUGAAGAUCCAUUUUUUGUGGUAGACCCCUUUACAAACGUAAUAUUAUGUGUGCCCCCUUCCUCAAAAUUUCAGANAAAUUUAUCAAAAAGUUUAGCUACCUCCUCAAUUUUGUGCUGUGUUUGUUGGCGUUUUUCAUAAGGCAGCCAUGUUGCUUUGAACAAUAGAUUCUCUCAUUCAAGUACUUUAUGUUAAACAAAGGUUUUUGUUCUUCUGAGAAUAAACAUGGCUGUCACAUGAGUAAGACCCAUGUUGAUCAGAGGAUGGCUAUUCUGUGUUAUAUCACAUACUAAAUGCCCAGAAGGUAUUACGACUGUCUGCAUUAGAUGUGUUAGACACAUGGGGUAUAUUGUUAAUAUAUGUUGCAUAUAUGUUAGAUGCAUGAGGUAUGUGCACUAUGCACUCUACAUGUAUUAGAUACGCUGCGCACACCAGGUGUGUUAGAUGUACAGGGUAUAUUAUGUUAGUAUAUGAUGCACAGUGUAUUUGUUAUGUUAGAUGCGCAGGGUACAGUGAGUAUUGAAUACCCCAUGCACUCUACAUGUAUUAGAUACACUGUGCACACCAGGUGUGUUAGAUGUACAGGGUAUAUUAUGUUAGUAUAUGAUGCACAAUUAUGUAUUUGAUAUGUUAGAUGCGCAGGGUACAGUGAGUAGAGUGCAAACAAUUAAUCCGUGAAACACUAAUUACUAAAUAGUACAAAAUAGUGCUAAUUAAACAAUAGAAAACAAUAGAAUUUGCAUGAAAUUGUGCUAUUUAGUAUUUCUAAAGUUUCACGGUUAUAUUGUUUAGACUCUAUUAAAUACCCUGUGCACACUACAUGUAUUAGAUACACUGCGCACACCAGGUGUGUUAGAUGCAAAGGAUAUAUUGUUAGUAUAUGAUGCAUGGUGUAUUUGUAUGUUAGAUGCGCAGGGUACAGUGAGUAUUAAAUACCCCGUGCACUCUACGUGUNUUAGAUACACUGCGCAAACCAGGUGUGUUAGAUACACAGGGCAUAUUGUUAGUAUAUGAUGCACGGUGUAUUCACUGUUAGAUGCGCAGGGUACAGUGAGUAUUGAAUACCCCGUGCACUCUACGUGUAUUAGAUAUACUGCGCACACCAGGUGUGUUAGAUGCACAGGGUAUGUUGUUAGUAUAUGAUGCACGGUGUAUUCAAUAUGUUAGAUGCGCAGGGUACAGUGAGUAUUGAAUACCCCGUGCACUCUACGUGUAUUAGAUAUACUGCGCAAACCAGGUGUGUUAGAUGCACAGGGUAUAUUGUUAGUAUAUGAUGCACAGUGUAUUCAAUAUGUUAGAUGGCAGGGUACAGUGAGUAUUGAAUACCCCGUGCACUCUACGUGUAUUAGAUACACUGCGCACACCAGGUGUGUUAGAUGCAUAGGGUAUAUUGUUAGUAUAUGAUGCACGGUGUAUUCAAUAUGUUAGAUGCGCAGGGUACAGUGAGUAUUGAAUACCCUGUGCACUCUACAUGUAUUAGAUACACUGAGCACACCCGGUGUGUUAGAUGCAAAGGGUAUAUUGUUAGUAUAUGAUGCACAAUUAUGUAUUUGAUAUGUUAGAUGCGCAGGGUACAUAAAUAUAUGUUCAUUAUUUGAUAGGCAUAGCUGAACAGCACUCGUCGCUCGAGUAUAAUGUAUUUACUCUUAAUGCGCAGAAAGUUUUGUAUGUUUUUUUUGUAUGUGAAGUAUGAUAAUUUAGUGUCCUUUUACUUGUACGAGGUUGCGCACAUAUAAAGCUGUUCGAGAUUGACGACAUUGUUUAAGCUAACGACAGCGCGCGAUAGUACUGCUUGGUCACGACACGGUCACGGUACAACUUAUACGUAAAUGAUUUGCUCUAGAUACAUCGUGUGCACUGUCCAUUUACAUGUUGUGCCCAAUGCUUGUGUAGUUGGCUAGAUGCAUCGUGUACAGUUAGUGUGUGACGCGCGCUUCACGGUGCACAUGCAUUACAUUGAUGCGCAAUAUUUUCUUCAAUAUAAUUUCUAUAAUAAAAAGUAAACCCGUAUUUACCCGAUUAUACGCUGGCAUAACCGAGUACGGUAACGAAUAGGAUUAAAAAAAUGCCAUCGCAUUUUAUAUCAAUUUAAUAAAGUUGUAU
rnacentral:lncRNA from 1 species